GUUUUACUUCUCAAGCUUUUUUCCUCACUACCUUUGUCAAUCUCCGAAAUCCCUUGCUCCCUCUUCACCAAUUCCUCAAAUUUAGACCAAGCUUCUCUUCGAAAAAAUCCUUAACCUAACCAUGAGUCAUCUUCCUCUUCUCCAUUUUACUCUCGUUGCAAACCCUAGCCGCCGUCAAAGCAAGCGAGACAUGUACCCACUCGAUACUCAUGGUCCAGACAAAGAUCCGUCUUAGUUUGAAAGAUGCCAGCGCCCUCAUGUUCCUCUGAUUCUUCCUCAUCUUACUCCUAUUCCUUCAGAUCUAUAAUCAAUCAAUGUAUUUUCUUAUUUUAUUCAAUCGAUUUAUCAUCUCUUUUGUUGGUAAAUUGAUGUCUGUGUUACAGAUCAAAUGUUGUGAACUAAUUAGCCUAAUGAUUCGAUUGAUUUUGGUGAACCCGAGGAUCGUACAAGUAUGUAGCUAUGGAGGAAGAUGGAGUCUAAUGUCAUGAGAUUCCUGUAGACAAUAACCUUCGAUUGGCCGUCCUAAACGUCUCGACAACCUCUUGUAUGCUUGCUAACUCAUUUCACUUUCCAAUUUAGAUUUGCUUCAAUAGCUCAUAAGAUUUCAAGUUUGGGUCCGAUAAGAUUUGGUCUAUGUUUAAUUCUUAUGAUAUUGUUGGAGAAAUGGAGAUACUGAGGUUUGAUUUCGCUGCGCUCGUUAGAUUUACCAACUAACGGCUCCGCUUCUCCUCUACCCUCCACGCUUACACAUUCCUCUUCUUCUUUACAGGUUUUGUUGAGUCCAUGUUAGUCAAAUUUACUAGUUUUGGUUUCUCGAGUCUGAGGGUUUUGUUUCUUUGAAACCAAUUUGAUGUUUCUCCUGAGAAAUUCCAAGCUAGAUUCAUUCUUAAUUGCUCUUAAAUGAGAAUGUUAGUCUGCUUUGUUCAAUUUUGUGCUUAGAUAAAGUGUUUCACGUGACUCUACCUCACUAUUUGAAUUAGUCUAAGUGGAAACAUUGAUAGCCAUACUUGUUUGUAUUUGUUUUCUCUCCGUAUGUUUUCUUGCUUCUUAAAUCUCAUUCUUGAUUCAUCUACAGAGGUUAAGGCUUUACUCUGCACCUAUCAAGAAAAUCGUGUAUAAAAUUAAGGAACUUGGCAAGAGGAUCAACGAUUUAUGUGGUAUGUGCACAUUCUUUACUCAUGAAGUGUUUGGUUUAUUUUGGUUAGUGAAUUUUGUUUAUUGGUUGUAAAAUACGGUUGUUGGGAUGCUUAUACUUGCAAGUAUCAAGGAGUUUGAUAAAAAAACUUGCUUAUAUGAUAGAAAAGUCGUCUCUUUUUGUUUACUUUAAAUGUGUUGUUCCAUGAUUACUUCUUAAAAUCUUAAGUUGAUUAGUUUUGAAUUUUGUUAGUGUUGUGAUGUUGUUGUAUUUUGACGUACGUCCCAUUUUUUUAUAAAGUUAAGAUUAGUCUAUUGUAACUUAAUGUCUUCUGUUAGGUGUUAUGCUCGUCUUCAUGGAAGGGCUGUGAACUGUUAAUUGUGAACUGCAAAGAAGAAGAAGAAGAAGUGUGGUCAUCGCAACCAUGAUUUUUUAGAAGCCAAAGAAGAUUCCAAUCAUGUUUGCUUUGUAUUUUGUUUUCCUCUUGAGAGAUAGUUUAUUCCUUGUUUCAUUGAAUUUUUAUGUAAAACAUUUAUAUCAAUAAAAAGAUUUCGAUUUCUAUC